GUCUCUGUAGCGCAAUCGGUUAGCGCGUUCGGCUGUUAACCGAAAGGUUGGUGGUUCGAGUCCACCCAGGGACG
rfam:Macaca mulatta chromosome 1, whole genome shotgun sequence.